CUCGUUGUCUGUCCUCAGUACUCCUUGUACACACUUAUAGCCGCCUUUCCAACGUCAUGGAGAGAACGGUUCUGCUUACUUCGACUUUUGUAGAUGUGUUCAGCACCCUCGCCCCUCUCCCUCAUCUAGAGCUUGUAGGUGUGGGAGAGGGGUAAACCGUCCGACAAGAACCACGUCCUCCAUUUAUCUGGAGAUGAACCCCGCAUCAAUCUACUCUUCUGGAGGAAGGUGAUAGCACGACAUACGACGCGGUCUGCACGUGGACCAGUAACACUUAACGGUUGAUAAUUGUUUCAAAUAUUGACCGUUUCAAGACUGUCGACGAGUUCAACUCGGCGCGUGUCUUGGUAGGUUACAAACCUAUAAGUGGGACGCAUGCGCAGAUCGCACACACAAGGUCUGGACCUGUUUCUCGGUAAGCAGGCACGCAAUCUACCAUUGUCAGGUAGCUAGUGUUCCGAGGGCAGUUCUAGACCCAUGGGAUCCCGGGUACAGUGCCUCCUCGUGGCGGGUCCUGGUAACGCAGAACUACUGAGCAGCAGAUAUCUGAUAUCGGAUCUUCCUUGUGAUUUCAUAUUAUGGGAAUGUGAUGAACUUGUGAUUUGAUUACAGACUGAUUUGUGCACGUGAUAGUAAAACUGAAGAGAGUUUAAAGCUACCGUGUUACAC